rnacentral:lncRNA from 1 species
GCUCAUUGCAGCCUUGAUCCUGCAGGCUCUAGUGAUCCUCUUGCCUCAACCUCCUGAGUAGCUGAGACUACAAGCAUGUGCCACCACAUCUGGAAAUCAGCCUCCAUGCUGUGGAAAGCCCAAGCCACAUGAAGAGGCCACAUGUUUGUGCUUUGGUCAACAGUCCCAGUGGGUUCCAAGUUUUCCCAGUCCAGGUGCCAGGCAAGAGAGUGAAGAAGACUCCAAAUGAUUCCAAGAGGUUCCAGACAUAGUGGAGCAGAGAUAAGUCAUCCUUGCUAUUCUCUGGCCAAAACCUUGACCCAAUGACCUAUUCCAUUUUUUGGCAAGAAAAGUCAUCACUUACUUCUGCUGCCCCAAACGUUUCAUUGUUCCUCAUUGCCUCAAGGAAAAAGUCAAUCAUCGCUAUCCUGAAGAGCACUGGUGCCCUAGUUUUUGUUGUUGCCAUUUCUCAUCUUCAAUAUUCUGCUGGUGAUAUGUAAAUAGUAUUUGUCAGGGUCCAGUUUAUUUUAGAAUGCCAAUCGCUGUACUUGGUAUUUCACAUAAAAUAUUGUAUUUAACCCUGAGGGCAAGGGAGAUAAUUAUUUACGUUGACAACAGAGUUAGAUUGAAUAAGGUAUGGAAAUCCUGUAGAGAUACACCUAUGAUGUGAUUCCAAGUCGAACUCAAAUCCAGACGCUUUACCCUUUACGCCCUCCUACUCCUCCAAGAUUCCUCUGAAGGACAACUUCAUUUCAGGCAUUAACAAAAAGCAUCUCACUGUAAUAUUGCAGAGUCCCUACAAUAAGCAUUUUACAGAUGAGAAAACUAAGGCACUACAACAUUAAGAACUUCGCAUAAAGGGACACAGACACUAAGUGGCGGAGUCCUGAUUCAAACCAUAUGUAUCUGAAUUCACGUUCUAUUCUUUUUCCACUCUACUAUAUAGCCUCUUUAUCUGGAAAACUACCCCCUUCAUUCUUCCCCAGUCAAAACUCUACCUAUUCUCCAAGUUACAGCUCCAAUACAACUUCUCUGAUCUUCCUCUGCACUUCAAUAGAACUUACCACACUUGGCUAAUGAGUAUUGCCUUGUACUGUGAUGACAUAAAAUAAAAAUAAAAAUGUGAUGCUGGGUGUAGUGGCUCACACCUGUAAUCCUAGCACUUUGGGAGGCCAAGGCAGGCGGAUGACCUGAGCUCAGGAGCUUGAGAAGCCUGGGCAACAUGGCAAAAUCCCAUCUCUACUAAAAGUCCAAAAAAUUAGCUGGGUAUGGUGGUGCACACCUGUAAUCACAGAUACUUGGGAGGCUGAGUCACGAGAAUUGCUUGAACCCAGGAGGUGGAGGUUACAGUGAGCUGAGAUCACACCACCACAGCACUCUAGCUUGGGCAACAGAGUGAGACUCUGUCUCAAAAAACAAGUAAACAAACAAACAAACAAAAGAUAUGAACAAUAAACUAUUAGAGAAUAUUGAAUAUUUGUACAUACACUACCUCAUUUGAUCCUAAAAUUUAUCCUUAUUAUUCCAGUUUUACAGAAGGGAUUGAAAUGACUUUCUCAGAAAUUACUCAUGCCGUCUGCUAUGUUGUCAAGUUUUGACUUGAACCUGUCUAAAAACAUAUAUAUUUUGCUUUGGCAAAAAUCUAGACUUAGAUAAUAAAAUACUAAGCUUAACUUGAAAUCUUCCAAUGGCAAGCUUCGAUAUAUCAGGCUUUAACAUACAUUUUCUUGUUGAAUCCUUCAUAUAGUUGUAGGAAGUAGUUCAUUUGCUUAUAACCUCACAGCUUUUUCUAUACUGUUGUUGAUUCCUUCAACAAAAAUGUAUUAAAUACCUGUUAUAUACUCAAUAUGGUACCAAAAAGGGUAAAUCUGCUUUAGAAUGUUUUAAUAAUUUCCCAUUUUUCUUAUGUUUAGAACCAAAAUUUCUAAUAUGAUGGGUUCCUUCCUACCUCUCCAGCCUAAACUUAUGCAGCAUUAGAAAUUGUCCCAAGCAUCCUAGCCACGAUGACCUUCUUGCAAUUCUCAGAAUUAUUAAAUUCUAUAUUGCAGAUGUAGGGGAAGAAUAACUUCCCAUCUGCCCUCUGAGGGAUCAAUAAUUAAGUCGAUGAAAUAAACUGACAACAGGCAGAGUAACAUGAGAAAAGGUAUACAAAUUUAUUAUAUGCAAGGAAACAUCACAUGAAAAAAAUCAAAUACUCAAAAACCCAGUGAGAUCUAGAAGCUUAGGUGCAAAUCUUCCUAGCGGAGUGUGAGGGGGAGAAGUAGGCAACUUAGAACAGAGUAAAUUAUUUUGUCAAGAUGAAUAGGCCCUCAGAAAAACACGUGAAAGCCUGUGACAAAGUCUGUCUGGGCAUAGUGUGGACCUCUAGCUUCCUCUCCUGUGAUACAAGCUGAUCUUCCCUGGUUGAUGAGAUUCCUGGGAAGAGAAUUUACACAGUUGAGUUCCUUUUGAAGGACCUAUCUUUAGGCAGACAGAAGAAGUUCAGAGAAAGCCUCUUCCUGCAUUUACCAUUCCCCAAGUAUGCUUAGUUUGAAGUAAUUUGCAUACCAAAACAAUAUAUCUUGGGUAGCAUUCCUGAACUCUUUCAUAGCAUACACUCCAUAGUGCUUUUUAAGUGCUGGGUGCUAUUCAUAAUAGUUUACAAAUAUUUACUAUUUUAAUUAUAACAACCACCUUUAGGGUGGGUACCAUUAAAGCCAAUUUAUAGAGGAGGAAACUGUGGCACAGAAAUUAAAUAGUUUGUAUAACGUCACACAGCUUAAAUAUUAUGCAUCAAGCUCUCUGGUCAAGCAUGCCCUGACCUCCUUUGAACUUGAUCUAUUCCCUGCCAGUAACAUACCUUUUUCUUCAGACUGCAGAUGAAGUUACUCUUCUCUGAAAAGGUUCUUCCAGUUUAUUAUUUUUUUUUUGUACAUACUCAUAUAAUUACAUUUGUUUUCACCUUUGCCCGGGAAAUGUGCAAUUCGUGGAGGGUAUGUGUUCACCUCCAUAUCCCUAGCAUGGUAUUUGCCACAUAGUAGGCACCCAACUAUGUGCUGAAUUAAUAAAUUUGGAUUGAUUAAAUAAGUGUAUCAGGUACCACAGUGCAUACUAUCAGGUAUAAUCCUUGUCCUCCAGGAGCUCUAAGCCUAAUGUCAAAUACAGACAAGGGAACACAUGAUUAUAACCUGACAUAAUAGCUGUAAUGAUUAAACACAAGUGACUGCAGAGCACAGAGGAAGGCAAUUCAUUCUGUCUGAUGAUCUGAAAGGCUUUCCAGAUUCUAUGACAUAUAGGGAAUGAGCAGAAUUUCUAAGGGAGAAAAGAGUUGGAUGGGGUGGUUUCCUGGGUAGAAGGAACCCCUUGUAAGGUACAGACAUAAAAGCAGAGGGUGAGAUAUGACAUAGAGAUAAAUUGUUUAUGGGUGAAUUGGAGAUGGCAUUGAGAGAAGUGGUGAAGAAUGAAGCUUAUUUUGAAGUUUAAGGUCAGUAUUAUGAAAGAUGACAUAGCCUGUGCUAAGAGUUAGAAUCUGGUUGUAUAGAGAGAAGGAAACGAUAAGUAGUAUAAUAAUUUUAAAAGUAUUUUCAAUGUGCUUUAGAAAGAUCAAUCAAACCACUAAAUGGACAAUUAUUCCUCUAUCUUUGAAUUUGGUUUUUGUAGUAUUAAUGCAAAUUUCAAAGGGUACUCCAAAUAGCCCAAUUUAAUAUGAGUCUUAGGACAUCAGGGCUAAAGAAGAUUGAGAAAUGAUUGAAAUGUUUCCUGGUAUCACAGUAAUUUGCAACAAAUCUCUGUAAUUUGCAUUACGAUACAUGCCAAGCUGCAGUAUGAGACAGCCACAGGUCAUCCCCAAGCCCUGAGUAUGCUGUAUCUGUUGCAUUUAUAUCUUCAUUUCAUGAAGUCUUUCAAAUGAUAUACCUAAGACCAAUUGAAUUCCUAAUCAUAAGAAUUCCUGUCUUUACUGAGUUGAUCACCUCAAUAUGUUUGUGAAGUCAGCUUUUUUUGUUGUUUUCAAUAAAACAAGAUUAGGCACAAACCAUUUUAAAAAUAAUAGAGGAUGCAAAUAGUUCAUGGACAAUGUUAAUGUUCAUUAACAAUAGAAUAUAAACCAAACUAAGUAGAUGUUGUGCAACAGUCUCCAGCUUUGUCCUACUACUGGCCAAGACAGCUUUAACAUUUCCCUCAGCUUGACUAAAUUUAAGUAAGCUUCUUUCUGACUUCAGUCCCUGCCCUCUCUUUGCUUAAAACAUUAACUUUAGAAACUUGCGAUUGUAAAUUCCUCCUCUGCCCAUUAGAGAUAUAAAUUUUCUACAACCUAGAAAUAUCUUUCUCAUCAAAUCAUCAAGAAAGAGUGGGCUCCUUUCUCCCAGUUUCUGAGGGACCGUAAUAGCCUAAUUUAGAUAAGUGACAAUCGGCUAACGCAAAUAGCCUAAUCAUUUUAACCAACCUCCCCCAUCCCAAUGUCCUCUUGUAGUUUUCCGUUAGCUCACGACAGCAUUUAAAUAUCUUCAGCAGAACUGUUCAAUCUCUCUCUUCUAUUGCAAUGGCUAUGAUAUAAAUACUAUGUCUUUAAAAGUAAUAUAACUUAGUUUUUCCCUACAGUUAAUUAUCAACAAAAUCACACAUCAGAAAAGCUUGCUUUAAAAACUUGCAGGUAGAUGCAACGUCUAAUACUAAAUAAUGAAAAAAGCAAGAUUCUUAAAACUCUGCAACCUACCUGGGUCAGUCGGUAGCAGCAGCAGCCUUUAUACUUAUUCAUUUUCAAACAUUUGUUGAAUCCCUUACUGUGUGUUAGUAUUGUUUUUAACAUUUGGGAUAUAUCAGUUAAUUAAACAGAUAAAGAUCCUUGCCCUCAAGGAUCUUACAUUUUAGAAGAGAAGAGCAGACGGAACAGAAAUGUGACAUAAAAAUAAAUUAUAGAUUAUGUUUUACAGUGAAAAGUUCUAUGAAAGAAAAAGGAAAUUAAAGCCAGGUUAAGGGAUGUUUUAAUGAAUUUUACUUGGAGUAAAAUAGGAAAGCUUUACAGGAUUUUUAAUAUGGAUGUGACAUGAUUUUACCCAAAGUUUUAAACAAAAUAGAUAAUUCUGGAUGCUGGGUAGAAAAUAAGCCAUAGGUGGAAAAGGUUAAAAGUAGGAGAUCAGAUGAAAGUUACUGCAGUUUAUCCAGGAAAGACUUUAGCACAAAUGUUAAUAAUAGGUCAGGCGGUAUGUAGUAAUAUGUUCUAGAUAUAUUAACAAUCAAGACAACAAAGUUUCCUAAAAGAGAGGAUGUGAGCUGUGGGAGAAAGGGAGAAAGAAUAAUUAAAAGCUUUUUCGCUUGAAGCAAGUAAUAUGCAGUUGCUAUCAAUUGAGAUGGAGAGGGUUGCAUUUGGAAUAGCAUUUGAGAAAAAGACUAAGAGUUAAGUUUGGGACGUGCAGAUUUUUACGAUUUGAAUGUAUUUCAAGAGUAGCUAUUGAUUUGGAAGUUGAAUAUAUGAUCUUGGAGUUAGGAAGAACUGGGUAGGAGAGAUAAAUUUGAGAGUCACUGACAUAUAAAUGCUAUUUUAAAACCACGAGGUAACACCAAGGGAGUGAGAGAAGAAAAGAUGAAGAAUGACUGAGGAAUGGUCCUUGGUCAUUCCAAGUUUCAGGAAUGAGGAGGAAGAGGGGAGAGGAAAGAGGAAAGUUAGGAGAAACACUAGGAAAGUGUGACAAUCUGCAAGUCAAAUGAAGAAAAUAUAUCAAAAAAGGUACAGUGAGCCUUUGGCUCAGAUAUUGCUGAUAGGUGAGUGGAAUGAUAAUUAAUAAUUGAUCAUUGGAUUUGGCAGUGCAGAGAUCAUUGAUGGCUGUUACCACAUUCGUCUUGGUGGAGUUGGAUAAAUACCUGGUUGGAGUAGAUUUAGGAGAGAAUGGGAAAAAGGAUUUAAAGCAAUACGCCAACUAACCAACAGGCUGCCUUGCUGCCUCUGCUCUGACCCGCAGAAAUGGUCCAGGUUUUUCCUUUUAACAGGUCCCUCAGCUUCAGAUCUGUUGGAGUUUGCCGGAGUUCCACUCCAGAUCCUCAUUGCCUGGCUAUCACCAGCGGAGGCUGCAGAACAGCAAAUAUUGCUGCCUGAUCCUUCCUCUGGAAGCUUUGCCCCAGAGGGUCAGUCGCCUAUAUGAGGUGGAAACACAGAAGUGGAAUCUAGAGGCAGUAGGCCUUGGUGAGCACUUCUAUCAUCAUCUUAAGCAUAAUGAUGGUUGCUCUUCAUUUUCACUCACACCCUCUAACUUGUUCUCAUUUUAUGUGUGGCACCUAAGAGAGUGCUCCUAAUAUAUAAUUUUCUAAAAUGUAAUAACAUACUUCUCAUAAAAAUAUCAAAUGAACAUAUGUUAGUGAUAUUAUUUAACUUGUGAAUUAAUGAAGCAAUGUUAAAACUGGCUCACAUGAGAAUUUAAGGUGGUUAGCUAUUUACAGAAAAUUUAAUAAAGCAAUGCUAGAAUAAGAUUUCUGAAUGAGAUACAACACUAGUUAACAUCCAAUAGGUUAAUAAAACAUAACCUUUGUGGUUAUCUAUUCUUCUGGAAAGAAGUGAUUUGCAUCUCUAUCAGAAGUAAAUCUACAAGUGAAUUUCUGCCCCUUCCAAGCUGUUAAAGAACCCAGUCAAUAAAAAGUCAAUCAAGAGGGCAAACACAGAACUGCUUUGAGAGAACACCCAAUAAUCUCUUUUGUCAUUUCCAUGUUUUCAUAAUAUUUUGACAGUGCCUUGAAAAUAACGGACAUUUAUGAAAUAUAUGUGGAAUUGGAGAAGUAGAGACUGAGUGGAUCUGAAGUCCUUUAUACCGUGGUUUUGGGAUAUCACUAGUUAAAAACUUCUGAUUAAAGGCCAUAUGAAGCUGGGUGUGGUGGCACAUACCUCAGGAAGCUGAGGUGGGAGAAUCACUUGAGCUCAGGAGAACGAGGCUGGAGUGAGCUAUAACUGUGCCACUGCACUCCAGCCUGUGCAAGAGUGAGGCCCCAUCUCUAAAAACAUUAAAAAAAAAAACUAGAUAAAUAAAGGCCAUAUGAUUAUUCUCAAGCAGGCUCCACUAGACAAACAACAAGACCAAGAAGGUCAGGGCACUCAGAAGAGAUGUGUAACUGCUUUCUGAGCAAAGCUGGAUAAAUGGUACUGGGAAAAUAUAAAUAUUAUUGAUCCAUGAUAUCUUAAAAGUUUGAAAGAGAUAAAGGCAUUUUGCACAUUUCUGCAAUUAGAAUGUACUUUUGGCACAUAUCUUGAUGAGUAUACUGCUAUAUAUGAAGCCUCCUACAGAUGGGGGCUUCUUUUUAAGUUGCAUGUUGUGAGAGAUAAUUGAUUAAAAAUUCAAAUUUGAGCAUGGAUGGCCUCAAAAAUCGUGUUUCUAUGUAUUUAUUUUUAUUAUUUAUUCAUCUAUUUAUUUAUUUUUGAGACAGACUGUCACUCUGUCACCCAGGCUGGAGUGUAGUGGCAUGAUCUUGGCUCACUGCAACCUCCGCCUCCAAGGUUCAAGCAAUUCUCCUGCCUCAGCCUCCGAAGUAGCUGGACUACAGAUGUGCACCACCAUGCCUGGCUAAUUUUUGUAUUUUCUGAUAUUAUUAAUAGUAGAGAUGGAGUUUCACCAUUUUGCCCAGGCUGGUCUCAAACCCCUGAGCUCAAGUGAUCAGCCAACUUCAGCCUCCCAAAGUGCUAGGAUUAAAGGUGUGAGCCCAUCAUGCCCAGCCCUCAAUUUAUUUUAUGUUGGUGUCAUU